GUGAAUCAUCGAAUCUUUGAACGCACAUUGCACUCCUUGGUAUUCCGAGGAGUAUGCCUGUUUCAGUAUCAUAAGCACUCUCACAUCUAACCUUUGGGUUAAAAUGUGGAAUUGGGAUGCGCCGGUUAUUAUAACGGCCCUCCUAAAAUUCAGUUCUUGGCUGCUUCCUACUACAGCAGUUUGGCCUAAUAGUUUUGAGUCUUCGAUUCAAAUCUUUUGGCUAACAUUUGCUUUCAGGAUGUCAGUCUUGAUAUAUCAGAAAUCUCAUUCAAACUUUGAUCUGAAAUCAGGUAGGGCUACCCGCUGAACUUAAGCAUAUCAAUAAGGCGAGG
rnacentral:rRNA from 1 species